CCCAUUGCCACCCCUAGGCUCCACUAGUUAUCCCAAGCCAAAUUCCUAAUUUGACACCCCGGACUUCACUUCGGCCCUAAAUUUCUAAAAUCUCUGUCGCUUUGUUUCCACCUUCUUGCCGCCGCCGAUCUUUGUCGCCAUUACCGACGGCUCAUCUGAAAUCCCGAAGUAAGUUCCUACUAGAGAGUACAAGCUCUAUACACCAAUUUCCAGUCUCCUCUCCUACGCUUUGUCCAAAGAGUCCAAACCUAACUCCCUAUAUAUUCUGAAUCAAUUCCUGCUGUCUUCUCCGGUUCUCCAUACGAUCCCCGGCAGAGCUGCAGAAGUUGGGAAGGUUGGUUGAAAAAAAGGGUUGGAGUGAUCUUUGUUUAAUCAAGACGGAAGUAGACUGCUAACUGCUAAGCCAGCUCAAAGGUUGAUUAACCAUCUAGAAGACUCUGUUGAUAAUCCAUGCAACUGAAGAUGUCAUCAAAUAGUGAAUCCGCCACCACCACCCGCAGAGGAGAUGAUCAUUGAGCAACCACAGGAGUAUCACCAGAAAUAACUCACUAUUUGAUAAAAGUCCCCAACUGAAAUUCAGAGAGAGGGAUCAUUUUCUGGAAAAAAAAAUUUGUUAUUGCUUAUUUUAGGUGAUUUCUAAAUUAGAAAUCAGAGGGCAAUCCGGCAAUCAAAGUUCCAUAUAAACAACUGUGGCUCCCACAUAGGGGGCUCAACACACAUCGCUGCUUGAUUACCACUACACCAGAUGCGCUGCUUGUUAGGUGGAUCAAUUGCCUUACUCUUAUUAGAUGACAACUGACGCUUCCCACAAACCCCCAGUCCACUACUAGCAGGACCUCAGAAGCAGAUUACUUUUGGCUUUGCAACGUCAUGGUUCCCCCAAACAAAGAAUUCAUGAACUGGGAGUUGUUAUCAUUGAAGAUGACGGAGCACUUUGUAGGACUAAUGUAAUUAUUUAGUACUCGAUUAAUUUAGUUACGCCAAAAAUAGUCACCGAUUAU